UACGGAGGAUGCGAGCGUUAUCCGGAUUUAUUGGGUUUAAAGGGUGCGCAGGCGGCACGGCAAGCCGGCGGUCAAAUCGCGGGGCCCAACCCCGCCCAGCCGUCGGAACUGCCGGGCUAGAGUGGGCGAGAAGUGCGCGGAAUGCGUGGUGUAGCGGUGAAAUGCAUAGAUAUCACGCAGAACUCCGAUUGCGAAGGCAGCCCACCGGCGCCCUACUGACGCUCAGGCACGAAAGCGUGGGUAUCGAACAGG
rnacentral:rRNA from 1 species